rnacentral:rRNA from 1 species
GAUGAACGCUGGCGGCGUGCCUAAUACAUGCAAGUCGAGCGAACAGACGAGGAGCUUGCUCCUCUGACGUUAGCGGCGGACGGGUGAGUAACACGUGGAUAACCUACCUAUAAGACUGGGAUAACUUCGGGAAACCGGAGCUAAUACCGGAUAAUAUAUUGAACCGCAUGGAUCAAUAGUGAAAGACGGUUUUGCUGUCAAUUAUAGAUGGAUCCGCGCCGCAUUAGCUAGUUGGUAAGGUAACGGCUUACCAAGGCAACGCUGCGUAGCCGACCUGAGAGGGUGAUCGGCCACACUGGAACUGAGACACGGUCCAGACUACUACGGGAGGCAGCAGUAGGGAAUCUUCCGCAAUGGGCGAAAGCCUGACGGAGCAACGCCGCGUGAGUGAUGAAGGUCUUCGGAUCGUAAAGCUCUGUUAUUAGGGAAGAACAAAUGUGUAAGUAACUAUGCACGUCUUGACGGUACCUAAUCAAAAAGCCACGGCUAACUACGUG